UCUUCAUCAUCUUCAUCAUCUUCAUCAGGACCUGAGGCUUUAAGUACAACUGCAGCAGGUGAGUGAGUGCGGCAGGUGAGUGCGGCAGGUGAGUUAGUGCGGCAGGUGAGUUGAGUGCGGCAGGUGAGUGAGUGCGGCAGGUGAGUUAGAGCGGCAGGUGAGUUAGUGCGGCAGGUGAGUUAGUGCGGCAGGUGAGUGCGGCAGGUGAGUUAGUGCGGCAGGUGAUGAUGACAUCAGCAGUUUGUUCUGGUCAGCAGCAGCUGUUCUCACAUGCUAACGUAG